rnacentral:rRNA from 1 species
ACUCAAAGGAAUUGACGGGGGCCCGCACAAGCGGUGGAUUAUGUGGUUUAAUUCGAAGCAACGCGCAGAACCUUACCUAGCCUUGAAAUCCGACGAAUCCGAUGUAAUGGUUGGAGUGCCCGCAAGGGAAUGUCGAGACAGGUGCUGCAUGGCUGUCGUCAGCUCGUGUUGUGAAAUGUUGGGUUAAGUCUCGCAACGAGCGCAACCCCUAUCUUUAGUUGCCAGCAUUAAGUUGGGCACUCUAGAGAGACUGCCUGGGUUAACCAGGAGGAAGGUGGGGAUGACGUCAAGUCCUCAUGGCCCUUAUGGCUAGGGCUACACACGUAAUACAAUGGCGUACACAAAGGGAUGCGACCCCGCGAGGGCAAGCUAAUCUCAAAAAGUGCGUCUCAGUCCGGAUUGGAGUCUGCAACUCGACUCCAUGAAGUUGGAAUCGCUAGUAAUCGCGGAUCAGCACGCCGCGGUGAAUACGUUCCCGGGCCUUGUACACACCGCCCGU